rnacentral:rRNA from 1 species
UACGGAGGGUGCAAGCGUUGUCCGGAUUUAUUGGGUUUAAAGGGUGCGUAGGCGGCUUUUUAAGUCAGUGGUGAAAUUCUGCAGCUCAACUGUAAGGACUGCCAGUGAUACUGGAAAGCUUGAGUACAUACGAGGUAGGCGGAAUUGACGGUGUAGCGGUGAAAUGCAUAGAUAUCGUCAAGAACACCGAUUGCGAAGGCAGCUUACUAGAAUGUAACUGACGCUGAGGCACGAAAGUGCGGGGAUCAAACAGG